rnacentral:lncRNA from 8 species
AUGGUUGAUACGGGAGCAACGUCACAUAUAGUCACGGACAUCGGGAAGUUUAAGGAGUUUGACGAGACUUUCAAACCGGAAAAACAUUCCGUGGAGCUGGCUGACGGAACAAGAACAAAUGGUGUCGCGGAGAGGAGAGGUGCAGCGGAGGUUUACCUGAGAGACAAGACGGGUCGUCGGGUAAAAACAACGCUGACGAAGGCGCUGUACGUGCCGUCGUUUCCACAGGACAUUUUCUCUGUUAAAGCAGCGACAGCCAACGGAGCUUCAGUCAACUUUCGACAGGGGUGUAACAAGCUCAUCCACAAGAACGGUACCACUUUUGACAUCGAGGAGUACGAUAGACUUUACUAUCUUAACACUGUAAGUGAUGAAAAUGAUGAUGGAUGCCAUGGGUGCUAUGAUAUUCACACAUGGCACAAAAUUCUUGGCCACUGUAAUUUUGAGGAUGUGUCAAAGUUAGAAAAUGUGACAGAGGGAAUGAAAAUCACAGGUAAGAUUGACAAAUCUACCCUCAACUGUGAAAUCUGCACUCAGGGAAAAUUUGUUCAGAGCAGAAACAGAGAGCCUGAUGAAAAGGCAAAAGCGGCUCUUGAGCUUGUGCACACUGAUUUGGCUGGCCCUAUUGAGCCAGAGGCGAAAGAUGGGUUCAGAUAUACUCUAGCAUUUACGGAUGAUUAUUCAGGGGCAGUUUUUGUGUAUUUCCUAAAAGCAAAGAGUGAUACUGUAAAAGCUACUGAGAAGUUUAUUGCUGAUGUGGCCCCUUAUGGGAAAAUAAAGUGUGUCAGGUCAGAUAAUGGCACAGAGUUCACAGCGAAACAGUUCCAGUCACUGCUCAGUAAGAACGCCAUAAGACAUGAAACUUCAGCCCCUUACUCACCCCAUCAAAAUGGGACCGCUGAGAGAAAUUGGAGAACACUGUUCGAAAUGGCAAGAUGCAUGCUACUUGAAAGCAACCUACCAAAGAACUUGUGGACAUAUGCUGUAAUGACUGCUGCAGUAAUUCGCAAUAGGUGUUACAAUAAGCGUGUAGGACAGACUCCACACUACAUGUUUACUGGGAGAAAGCCUGAUCUUUCAAAGAUGAAAGAAUUUGGAUCUGUUUGCUAUGCAUAUAGACAGAACAAGAAAAAGUUAGACUCAAGAUGUGAAAAGGGUAUUUUUGUCGGGUAUGAUAAAAAUAGUCCAGCAUACCUAGUCUACUACCCAGACACUGGGAAAGUUCUUAAAAACAGAUUAGUCAAGUGUGUUACAAAAGGUGUAGUCGAACACCAAACUCAGACAGAUUUGGAAAUCAGUGAUGAUCUUCAUGGGGAGAGAUUUGAAAACCCCAUGCCGAAAGCCAAGAUGGCAGAUCAAAACUCAGAAGAGACACAAGAUGUGCAAAUUGAGACUUCAGAUGGUCAGAGUCCACGCUAUCCAGACAGAACGAGGAAGAAACCCCAGUACUUAAAAGACUAUGAGUGUAAAGUGAAAUGUGAUGACCAGAUACCACCUAGUGUUGAAUACUGCUACAAAGUAAUGUGCAAUGCACCACAAACCUUCAAAGAAGCAAUGAUUUCACCAAAAUCAGAGAUUUGGGCUACUGCUAUGAAGGAGGAGAUGGAUUCCCUUAGGGGAAAUGAUACAUUCACAUUAACCACACUGCCAGAUGGUAGAAAUGCAGUGGUGGGCAGGUGGGUCUAUGCGGUCAAAAACAAUUCAGAUGAGACUGAGACAUACAAGGCAAGAUAUGUUGCAAAGGGGUAUAGUCAAGUGGCAGGAAUAGACUAUAAGGAGACUUUUUCUCCAACUGCAAAUAUGACAUCAGUACGCUGUUUGAUGCAGCUAGCAGCUCAGUAUGACUUAGAGUUACAUCAGAUGGAUGUCAAAACAGCAUAUCUACAUGCUCCUAUUGACUGUGAAGUGUACAUGGAGCAACCAGAGGGUUUUGAAGUCAGGUCAGAUACAGGUGAGCAACUAGUCUGCAAACUGAACAAGUCACUGUACGGCCUGAAACAGUCAGGAAGGAACUGGAACAAAAUGUUGCAUGAUCACCUUAGUGAAAAUGGUUUUACACAGAACCCAGCUGAUCACUAUGUUUAUAACAAACAAACUGCAACAGAAAGGAUCAUUUUGAUCAUUUGGGUCGAUGAUCUAAUUAUCGCUGCUAGUGAUAGUGACUCACUCACAAGUGUAAAAGAAAUGUUAAGUGAAAAAUUUAAGAUGAAAGAUCUUGGGAGGCUUGGACAUUUCCUAGGCAUUGAUUUUACACAAAGUGAAGGGAAAAUAAAGAUGAACCAAACAAGGUACAUAACCAAGAUACUGGAAAGGUUUGGUAUGUCAGACUGUAAAACAAGGUCAACACCAUGUGAACAAAAACUAAACUUUGAUGGUGAUGGUGAACUUAUUGAUUCAAAAAGGUAUCGUGAAGUGAUAGGCAGCUUGAUAUAUGUGAUGACAUGUACAAGACCGGAUAUCAGUUGGAUUGUCAGCAAGCUGUCACAAUACCUAUCAGAACCAAAAGAGCAACACUGGAUAACAGCUAAACAUGUGUUGAGGUACUUGAAGGGAACAAUGAAUCAGGAGUUGUGUUACAAAAAGGGGGUGGAAAAACUCAACCUCGUAGCAUAUAGUGAUGCUGAUUGGGCAGCAGAUCAAAGUGACAGACGAAGCAUAACAGGUUAUUGCUUUAGUUUAACUAAAUGUGGACCUGUCAUUUCAUGGAGGUCUAAGAAGCAGCCAACAGUAGCUUUAUCUACAUGUGAAGCAGAGUACAUGGCACUGGCUGCUACUACACAAGAAAGUUUGUACCUUGUACAGUUAUUGGGCGAGAUGGAUAGUGAGUGCCAAUAUACACCAGUAACAAUCUUUGAAGAUAACCAAGGUGCAAUUGCUCUGUCAAAGAACCCAGUAUGUCGUCAGAGAUGUAAACAUGUCGACAUCAGAUAUAAUUUCAUUCGAUCUGCACUCAGUGAUGGUAAAAUAAGUAUUGAAUAUUGUGCAACGGCAGACAUGGCUGCAGAUGUUUUGACUAAACAUGUAACGAAGUUCAAAAAUGAAAAAUUCUUGGGUUACAUGUUUGGAAUAUAA